CGCGGGACUCUGACCGUGCAAAGGUAGCGCAAUCACUUGUCUUUUAAAUGAAGACCCGUAUGAAUGGCAUAACGAGGGCUAAGCUGUCUCCUUUUUCUAGUCAAUGAAAUUGAUCUCCCCGUGCAGAAGCGGGGAUAAAACCAUAAGACGAGAAGACCCUAUGGAGCUUUAGACACGAAAGCAGACCUUGUUAAACACCCCCAUUACCAGGACUAAAACAAAAUAACCCCUGCCCUAAUGUCUUUGGUUGGGGCGACCGCGGGGAAACAAAAAACCCCCAUGUGGAGCGAGAAUACUUUUCUUACAACUAAGAGCCACAGCUCUAAUAAACAGAACUUCUGACCUUAAGAUCCGGCUAUUGCCGAUUAACGGACCGAGUUACCCUAGGGAUAACAGCGCAAUCCUCUUUGAGAGCCCAUAUCGACAAGGGGGUUUACGACCUCGAUGUUGGAUCAGGACAUCCUAAUGGUGCAGCCGCUAUUAAGGGUUCGUUUGUUCAACGAUUAAAGUCCUACGUGAUCUGAGUUCAGACCGGGA
rnacentral:rRNA from 1 species